AGGAGAAGGAGAAGAAGAUGAAGGCAAAGGAGAUGGAGAAAGAGACAGAGAAAAAUAAAGAGAAGAAAGUCGAAGUUGUCAGUUGUGAUGUGAAGCGACAAUACCAUUUGAAGGUUUUAACAUUGACGGUGAGGGUCCAACUGAACUAAUGUCAUCCUUCUCACAAUGGAUAAACGAGGGUCUUUACAAGCAUCAUGCAAAAAAAGGAAAAGGAGGAUCACUACUUAGCCAAUUGCUCAAAACUUGAUUUUGACCAACUUGAUUUUGUAGUUGCAUUUCCAAGGAAUAAGGACUGGUUCUACGUAAUGUCUCAACCCAAUAAGUGCUGGAAUGAUGAGAGAAUGUGGACUUUAUGUUGCUGCAUACACUGAGUUUUUGAGUGAUGGAUUAGAAGUACCAUCAUGUGAAAUUAGUGUUGACACACUUCGCUUGAGAUAUGCUUCACUCCUAUGGAAUUAUGGGAUUAUAAAUGCUCGAAAUGACUAUGUUAGUAACAAUGAAGACCCAAAGAUACCUAGACCUAAAAAAGCUAAGAUCGAUGAAAUGUUGUGUUUACAACCAUUGAUUAGAUAGGUGGUUAUGUAUAUCAUAUCAUUGUAUUUUACGUUUUUGUGGAUAAGUUGUAUAAAACAAUUGGUUAAUUGUUAAUA